UACGUAUGGGGCAAGCGUUGUCCGGAAUUAUUGGGCGUAAAGGAUGCGUAGGUGGAUAUUUAAGUGGGAUGUGAAAUCCCCGGGCUCAACCCGGGAACUGCAUUCCAUACUGGAUGUCUAGAGUGCAGGAGAGGAAAGCGGAAUUCCUAGUGUAGCGGUGAAAUGCGUAGAUAUUAGGAGGAACACCAGUGGCGAAGGCGGCGACCUGGAUAAGCACUGACACUCAACUGCGAAAGCGUGGGGAGCAAACAGG
rnacentral:rRNA from 1 species